rnacentral:pre_miRNA from 1 species
AAGAUACUCCCUCCGUCCGGAAAUACUUGUCAUCAAAAUGAAUAAAAGGGGAUGUAUCUAGAUGUAUUUUAGUUCUAGAUACAUCCCUUUUUGUCCAUUUUGAUGACAAGUAUUUUCGAACGAAGGGAGUACAAG